rnacentral:rRNA from 1 species
AGAGUUUGAUCCUGGCUCAGGACGAACGCUGGCGGCGCGCCUAACACAUGCAAGUCGAACGGAGUUAAGAGGAGCUUGCUUUUCUUAACUUAGUGGCGAACGGGUGAGUAACGCGUGAGUAACCUGCCCUGGAGUGGGGGACAACAGUUGGAAACGACUGCUAAUACCGCAUAAGCCCACGGAUUCGCAUGGAUCUGCGGGAAAAGGAUUUAUUCGCUUCAGGAUGGACUCGCGUCCAAUUAGCUAGUUGGUGAGGUAACGGCCCACCAAGGCGACGAUUGGUAGCCGGACUGAGAGGUUGAACGGCCACAUUGGGACUGAGACACGGCCCAGACUCCUACGGGAGGCAGCAGUGGGGGAUAUUGCACAAUGGGGGAAACCCUGAUGCAGCGACGCCGCGUGGAGGAAGAAGGUCUUCGGAUUGUAAACUCCUGUUGUUGAGGAAGAUAAUGACGGUACUCAACAAGGAAGUGACGGCUAACUACGUGCCAGCAGCCGCGGUAAAACGUAGGUCACAAGCGUUGUCCGGAAUUACUGGGUGUAAAGGGAGCGCAGGCGGGAAGACAAGUUGGAAGUGAAAUCCAUGGGCUCAACCCAUGAACUGCUUUCAAAACUGUUUUUCUUGAGUAGUGCAGAGGUAGGCGGAAUUCCCGGUGUAGCGGUGGAAUGCGUAGAUAUCGGGAGGAACACCAGUGGCGAAGGCGGCCUACUGGGCACCAACUGACGCUGAGGCUCGAAAGUGUGGGUAGCAAACAGGAUUAGAUACCCUGGUAGUCCACACCGUAAACGAUGAUUACUAGGUGUUGGAGGAUUGACCCCUUCAGUGCCGCAGUUAACACAAUAAGUAAUCCACCUGGGGAGUACGACCGCAAGGUUGAAACUCAAAGGAAUUGACGGGGGCCCGCACAAGCAGUGGAGUAU